rnacentral:rRNA from 1 species
UGGGGAAUUUUCCGCAAUGGGCGCAUAGCCUGACGGAGCAAUACCGCGUGAGGGAAGAAGGCUCUUGGGUCGUAAACCUCUUUUGUCAGGGAAGAAGCAAGUGACGGUACCUGACGAAUCAGCCUCGGCUAACUCCGUGCCAGCAGCCGCGGUAAUACGGAGGAGGCAAGCGUUAUCCGGAAUUAUUGGGCGUAAAGCGUCCGCAGGUGGCUCAUCAAGUCGGCGGUCAAAGACUGGGGCUCAACUCCAGAGCGGCCGUGGAAACUGAAGAGCUAGAGGGCAGUAGGGGUAGAGGGAAUUCCCGGUGUAGCGGUGAAAUGCGUAGAGAUCGGGAAGAACAUCGGUGGCGAAAGCGCUCUGCUGGACUGCAACUGACACUGAGGGACGAAAGCUAGGGGAGCGAAUGGGAUUAGAUACCCCUGUAGUCC